GACGAACGCUGGCGGCGUGCUUAACACAUGCAAGUCGAACGGAAAGGCCCUGCUUGCCGGGUACACGAGUGGCGAACGGGUGAGUAACACGUGGGUGAUCUGCCCUGCACUUCGGGAUAAGCCUGGGAAACUGGGUCUAAUACCGGAUAGGAGCCAUUUUUAGUGUGAUGGUUGGAAAGUUUUUUCGGUGUAGGAUGAGCUCGCGGCCUAUCAGCUUGUUGGUGGGGUAAUGGCCUACCAAGGCGGCGACGGGUAGCCGGCCUGAGAGGGUGGACGGCCACAUUGGGACUGAGAUACGGCCCAGACUCCUACGGGAGGCAGCAGUGGGGAAUAUUGCACAAUGGGCGCAAGCCUGAUGCAGCGACGCCGCGUGGGGGAUGACGGCCUUCGGGUUGUAAACUCCUUUCGCUAGGGACGAAGCUUUUUGUGACGGUACCUAGAUAAGAAGCACCGGCUAACUACGUG
rnacentral:rRNA from 1 species